UAGGGAAUUUUGGACAAUGGGGGAAACCCUGAUCCAGCCAUUCCGCGUGAGUGAAGAAGGCCUUCGGGUUGUAAAGCUCUUUUGUCCGGAACGAAACGGUUGGCGUGAAUAUCGCCGACUACUGACGGUACCGGAAGAAUACGCACCGGCUAACUACGAGCCAGCAGCCGCGGUAAUACGUAGGUGGCAAGCGUUGUCCGGAUUUAUUGGGUUUAAAGGGUGCGUAGGCGGUCCUAUAAGUCAGUGCUGAAAUAUCCCGGCUUAACCGGGAGGGUGGCAUUGAUACUGCAGGACUUGAGUAAAGUUGAGGUUGGCGGAAUUGACGGUGUAGCGGUGAAAUGCUUAGAUAUCGUCAAGAACACCGAUAGUGAAGACAGCUAACUAAGCUUUAACUGACGCUGAGGCACGGAAGUGUGGGGAUCAAA
rnacentral:rRNA from 1 species